rnacentral:rRNA from 1 species
GCAUAUCAAUAAGCGGAGGAAAAGAAACUAACAAGGAUUCCCCUAGUAACUGCGAGUGAAGCGGGAAGAGCUCAAAUUUAAAAUCUGGCAGCUCUGCUGUCCGAGUUGUAAUCUGUAGAAGCAUUUUCUGCAUUGGACUGUGUACAAGUCUCUUGGAAUAGAGCGUCAUAGAGGGUGAGAAUCCCGUCCAUGACACAGACUACCAAUGCUUUGUGAUAUGCUCUCAAAGAGUCGAGUUGUUUGGGAAUGCAGCUCAAAAUGGGUGGUAAAUUCCAUCUAAAGCUAAAUACAGGCGAGAGACCGAUAGCGAACAAGUACCGUGAGGGAAAGAUGAAAAGCACUUUGGAAAGAGAGUUAAAUAGUACGUGAAAUUGUUGAAAGGGAAACGCUUGAAGUCAGUUGCAUUCUGCAGAACUCAGCCUUGGCCUUUAAUUAGGCCUGGUAUAUUUCCUGCAGGAUGGGUCAACAUCAAUUUUGGCUAGUGGAUAAAGGAGGAGGGAAUGUGGCAUCUGUAAAGGUGUGUUAUAGCCCUCUUUCAUAUACAUUGGCUGGGAUUGAGGAUUGCAGCAUGCCCUUGUGGCCAGGCUUCAUGUCACAUGCU